CACGCCGUAAACGAUGAAUGCCAGUCGUCGGUGCGCAUGCGUAUCGGUGACACACCUAACGGAUUAAGCAUUCCGCCUGGGGAGUACGGUCGCAAGAUUAAAACUCAAAGGAAUUGACGGGGGCCCGCACAAGCGGUGGAGCAUGUGGUGUAAUUCGAAGCAACGCGCAGAGCCUUACCAACCCUUGACAUCGGGAUCGCGGAUUUCAGAGAUGAUUUCCUUCAGUUCGGCUGGAUCCCAGACAGGUGC
rnacentral:rRNA from 1 species